GAUGAACGCUAGCGGCAGGCCUAACACAUGCAAGUCGAGGGGCAGCGAGAUGUAGCAAUACAUUGUCGGCGACCGGCGUAAGGGUGCGUAACACGUGAGUAACUUGCCCGUAACAGGGGGAUAAGCGAUGGAAACGUCGUCUAAUACCCCAUAAUAAUUGUUAUCGCAUGAUGAUGAUUUGAAAAUUCCGAUGGUUACGGAUAGACUCGCGUUACAUUAGCUAGUUGGUGAGGUAACGGCUCACCAAGGCGACGAUGUAUAGGGGUUCUGAGAGGAAGAUCCCCCACACUGGAACUGAGACACGGUCCAGACUCCUACGGGAGGCAGCAGUGAGGAAUAUUGGACAAUGGAGGGAACUCUGAUCCAGCCAUGCCGCGUGAAGGACUAAGGCCCUAUGGGUCGUAAACUUCUUUUGACGCAGAGCAAUAAGAGAUACGAGUAUUUUGAUGAGAGUAUGCGUCGAAUAAGCAUCGGCUAACUCCGUGCCAGCAGCCGCGGUAAUACGGAGGAUGCGAGCGUUAUCCGGAUUUAUUGGGUUUAAAGGGUGCGUAGGCGGUUGUGCAAGUCAGUGGUGAAAUACGAACGCUCAACGUUCGGGCUGCCAUUGAAACUGUACGGCUAGAGUUCGGAUGCCGUGGGAGGAAUGAGUAGUGUAGCGGUGAAAUGCAUAGAUAUUACUCAGAACACCGAUUGCGAAGGCAUCUCACGAAUGCGAAACUGACGCUGAUGCACGAAAGCGUGGGGAUCAAACAGGAUUAGAUACCCUGGUAGUCCACGCUGUAAACGAUGAUAACUAACUGCCGGCGAUAAACGGUCGGUGGCCCAAGCGAAAGCGAUAAGUUAUCCACCUGGGGAGUACGACCGCAAGGUUGAAACUCAAAGGAAUUGACGGGGGCCCGCACAAGCGGAGGAACAUGUGGUUUAAUUCGAUGAUACGCGAGGAACCUUACCCAGGCAUCGAACGGCAUAUGAAUAUUGCAGAGAUGUGAUAGUCUUCGGACAUAUGUCGAGGUGCUGCAUGGUUGUCGUCAGCUCGUGCCGUGAGGUGUCGGCUUAAGUGCCAUAACGAGCGCAACCCUUGUCGUUAGUUACCAUCAAGUAAAGUUGGGGACUCUAACGAGACUGCCACCGCAAGGUGUGAGGAAGGGGGGGAUGACGUCAAAUCAGCACGGCCCUUACGUCUGGGGCGACACACGUGUUACAAUGGUAGGUACAGAGGGUAGCUAUUGAGUGAUCAAGUGCAAAUCUCAAAAACCUAUCUCAGUUCGGACUGGAGUCUGCAACCCGACUCCACGAAGCUGGAUUCGCUAGUAAUCGCGCAUCAGCCAUGGCGCGGUGAAUACGUUCCCGGGCCU
rnacentral:rRNA from 1 species